AUAUGUUAUCAAGUGUCAGGACAAGUUUAUAAUUUUAUGUACUAUGUAAAGGCUGUGUAAUGUGUUUGAUGGGCGCGCGCGUUGAACAUUCGAGGCGCAUUUAAACUGUGGAGGGAGUUACCAUGGAAACGGGGCGGCAACACAGCUGAGAAGUAGCAAAUCUCUCCGUCUCUCACUGUUGUUUUUACUGCUUUCAGCAGAGUUGGAGUGGACCUCUUGUUGAAGAACUUCUCCAGGCACUAUGAACCAUCUGACUAUCCUGUAUGUCUUACAAGGCCAUCCUGUUUAACACUGCACUGAGGACACUACAACCAGAGAGGUACAACAUAAUUCAAAAUGAGACACAGAUGAUAAUAAAAAAGUGGUUUGAAAUGAAAAUGAAUACUGGUAAGACAGAACCGAGUACUGUGACUGUGCCUCACUUCAAAGUGAAACAGUCUGUAAUGGUCAUCUGCCAUGCCAGAUCGAUGGUGAAGGUGGGAAUUAUAAGUACGAUUUUCUAAACUUUAAAUGUAGUAAAGUGUUUGUUCAAGUAGACUUUGUUGCUUGUGGAAAC
ensembl:lncRNA